rnacentral:rRNA from 1 species
CAGUCGCCACGGUAAAACGUAGGGGGCGAGCGUUGUCCGGAAUUAUUGGGCGUAAAGGGCUCGCAGGCGGUUUCUUAAGUCUGAUGUGAAAGCCCCCGGCUCAACCGGGGAGGGUCAUUGGAAACUGGGAAACUUGAGUGCAGAAGAGGAGAGUGGAAUUCCACGUGUAGCGGUGAAAUGCGUAGAGAUGUGGAGGAACACCAGUGGCGAAGGCGACUCUCUGGACUGUAACUGACGCUGAGGAGCGAAAGCGUGGGGAGCGAACAGGAUUAGAUACCCGAGUAGUCCCUGUCUCUUAUAA